AGACCUUUCCCUGCAGGAAUACAGGCUGGGGGAGUUGGCUUGAAAAAUUGCAGUGUCUGGGGAAAGAACUAGUUUGAUUUCUGAUCUGAUUUAGGGAAAGGUCUGGUGAGGAGAGUAUGGGGCGCUCUCUCUGUUCAAGGUGAGAAUAAAGCCCCAUUAUUGUUUACGUGUCUUUACAGAAACCAGUCAUCGUUGCCAGCUGCCUACGGAAGGAAUACGCAGGCAAAAAGAAAAAUUGCUUUUCCAAAAGGAAGACAAAAAUCGCCACAAGGAAUGUGUCUUUCUGUGUUAAAAAAGGUGAAGUUAUAGGGUUGUUAGGACACAAUGGAGCUGGGAAAAGUACAGUGAUUAAGAUGAUCUCUGGAGACACAAAACCAACCGCAGGGCAGGUGCUAUUGAAAGGGAGCGGCAGAGGGGACCCCCUGGGCGUCCUGGGGUGCUGUCCGCAGGAGAACGCGCUGUGGCCCAGCCUGACAGCCGGGGAGCACCUGCAGGCCUACGCCGAGGUGAAGGGGCUGAGGAGAGGGGACGCGGAGGUCGCCAUCUCUCGGUGCGUGCAGGGGACGGGGACACACCAUUCUCCGCUGCCAGAUGUCACCGGCAUUAUGUUCAUGUGAAAUUAAG